UACGGAGGGGGCUAGCGUUGUUCGGAAUUACUGGGCGUAAAGCGCACGUAGGCGGCUUUGUAAGUUAGAGGUGAAAGCCCGGGGCUCAACUCCGGAAUUGCCUUUAAGACUGCAUCGCUAGAAUUGUGGAGAGGUAAGUGGAAUUCCGAGUGUAGAGGUGAAAUUCGUAGAUAUUCGGAAGAACACCAGUGGCGAAGGCGGCUCACUGGCCUGUUACCGACGCUCAGGCGCGACAGCGUGGGGAGCAAACAGG
rnacentral:rRNA from 1 species